UACGAAGGGGGCUAGCGUUGCUCGGAAUUACUGGGCGUAAAGCGCACGUAGGCGGGUCAUUAAGUCGGGGGGGAAAUCCUGGAGCUCAACUCCAGAACUGCCUCCGAAACUGAUGAUCUUGAGUUCGGGAGAGGUGAGUGGAACUGCGAGUGUAGAGGUGAAAUUCGUAGAUAUUCGCAAGAACACCAGUGGCGAGGGCGGCUCACUGGCCCGAUACUGACGCUGAGGUGCGAAAGCGUGGGGAGCAAACAGG
rnacentral:rRNA from 1 species